UACGUAGGGGGCUAGCGUUGUCCGGAAUCAUUGGGCGUAAAGAGCGCGUAGGCGGCCAGAUAAGUCCGGUGUGAAAGUCACAGGCUCAACCUGUGAAUGCCGCUGGAAACUGUCUGGCUAGAGUCCGGGAGGGGCGAGUGGAAUUCCUGGUGUAGCGGUGAAAUGCGCAGAUAUCAGGAGGAACACCAAUGGCGAAGGCAGCUCGCUGGAACGGUACUGACGCUGAGGAGCGAAAGUGUGGGGAGCGAACAGG
rnacentral:rRNA from 1 species